UACGUAGGGGGCAAGCGUUGUCCGGAUUUACUGGGCGUAAAGCGCGUGUAGGCGGCCACGCAGGUCCGUUGUGAAAACUGGAGGCUCAACUUCCAGACGUCGACGGAAACCGUGUGGCUAGAGUCCGGAAGAGGAGAGUGGAAUUCCCGGUGUAGAGGUGAAAUUCGUAGAUAUCGGGAGGAACACCAGUGGCGAAGGCGGCGAUCUGGGCUGAUACUGACGCUGAGGUGCGAAAGCGUGGGGAGCAAACAGG
rnacentral:rRNA from 1 species